rnacentral:lncRNA from 1 species
ACUUGAGGCUUCUUUUCAGGAAAUAGAUAUUACAGCGCAGAGGCAGUUGUAUGGCUCAAUAGUUGUGUUGCUUGAUAAACACGCUGUCUUUGACUAUUUUGGCAUUCUAAAUGAAUAUCUUCAAAUUUUUCCGAACCUUGCUACUAGAAGUCCUUCCGUAGUUAGACAUGAGCUGGGCCUUUAGAUUUCUCUGAAAGCAGUCUUCUUCAAAAUGUCUAGAACAAACUCUGGCAGUUUCGGGAUUGAAUGGGUCUUGUCUAUGACAAUCUUGGAUCAAUUUUGCACGAAUGUCCUUGGCUUUGGGAAAUCUAUGGUAAGAAUAACCUUCACUGGAGUUUCUUAUGAGGGGAGUAGCAGACUGACACAGCAGAAGGUAAAACAUUUCUCUUCCGAGUGUUCAUUUUGAAAUUAUUGGGAAAAUUGUAGAGGCUAUACUUUUAAAGUAAAUAACGAUAAUAUAAAUAUUAAUUAUAUUUUGAAAUUGUUCAUCUGUUAUCAAUCAUUUUAAAUCCAAUGACGUCCGAUGCCACUUGCUAAUUUCAAUAACAAAUCAAAAACAUUUCAGAAGAAAAUACCUCAUUAUAUAUACCUUGGUCUAACUUAAAAAAAAUAUUUUGUUUCCCACAUCGUAAUAUGGAACAAAGAGAACUCUGGAUCAAGGCUAUUAAAAGUGUGAAUGAGGAUGAAACUAUGUGGAAGGCUCAUUAUUGGAGUCAUGUAUGUUUCGAACAAUUUAAUAUCGGUGCCUUACUAUUUUCCGACAAUAUUUCCAACGUCCCAUGUCAAUCCCAGAACCUUUAGUGAUAAAGAGCGUCAGGGCCGUUUCCUGAAACGAUGUGAAAGGAAGAAGAAACUGGAAGUACUAAUAAGUAAAGUUGACUCAAGUGUACGUGUAUUUGACACAGUAACAAAUAUAAUGAGUAUUUGACACUGAGAUCCUCAAGAACUACGCAAACUGUUGACGAAUUUGAAUUUAUUUCUCAUUUAUCCAUUUUUUUUCUCGCACUUUGAUGGUAAAAAUGUAUCGUGCUAGUUCAGCGCCCCUCCCAUCACUUCCGAAAUGACAACAACUAUGGACAAGGUUCACUACAAAAAUAAGGGAACUUUGGUGGAUAUUAAAACAGAAGAAGAAUUUAGUGACAAACGAAGACUUUAAAACAUGCUGUCGAGUAGAAAAGUGGUUUUUCGAUUUUUUACUGUUUCAAUUUGAGUCAAAAUUAGCCUUCCACUAAUUGAUCGCCUCCUUCUCUUUUUUAUUAAACUUAAGUAUAACAUGUCGUUUACAUUCUUGGCAGCUAUGUUUAAUAUUUAUAGGAUAACCGUUUCAAUAAUUUUUUCUACAAUGCUUGAUGAAUUUUUUUUUAAUCGAGAAAAAAUGGAUAUUUUGACUGCCAGCAGAAAAAAUUCGGACUACUAUGCCACAGCAAUUUAAAGAAAAUUAUCAAAAUACUACCGUAAUUAUUGAUGGACGUGAAAUCAAAAUUGAGACUCCGACAAAUUUAGACACUUUUUUUCUCACAUAUUCAAACUACAAAAGCUCUCAUACACUAAAUUUUUGAAUUGGAACUGUCUCUUCUGUCAUUGGAAAAAGUAGAAAAUGAUCCUGGAGUAUGAAUUUAAUGUGGUCCUCUUUUGUAGAUAUCUUUAUCAGCAAAGCCGUAAAAUAUAUUUAACUCUCCUAUUA